UAAGAUCCCAGGAAGACUACCUGGUUGAUAGGUCGGAGGUGUAAGUGCAGCAAUGUAUGUAGCUUACCGAUACUAAUAGAUCGAGGACUUGACCAA
rnacentral:rRNA from 1 species